GUUGUGUCAUUGUGUCAUUGUGUGGCUGUGUCGUUGUCGUGUUGUUGUGUUGUGUCGUUGUGUCAUUGUGUGGUGCGGCUGUGUGGCUGUGUGGCUGUGUUGUUGUGUGGCUGUGUCGUUGUGUCAUUGUGUCGUUGUGUGGCUGUGUUGUUGUCGUGUUGUUGUGUCGUGUCAUUGUGUCGUUGUGUCGUUGUGUCAUUGUGUCGCUGUGUCAUUGUGUGGUGCGGCUGUGUGGCUGUGUCGUUGUCGUGUUGUGUCGCUGUGUCGUUGUGUCAUUGUGUGGUGCAGCUGUGUGGCUGUGUCGUGUGGCUGUGUCGUUGUGUCGCUGUGUCGCUGUGUCGUUGUGUCGCUGUGUCGCUGUGUCGUUGUGUGGCUGUGUCGUUGUGUCGCUGUGUCGUUGUGUCGCUGUGUCGUUGUGUCGCUGUGUCGCUGUGUCGUUGUGUCGCUGUGUCGCUGUGUCGUUGUGUCGUUGUGUCGCUGUGUCGCUGUGUCGUUGUGUUGUUGUGUCGUUGUGUUGUGGUGCGGCUGUGUGGCUGUGUCGUUGUGUGGCUGUGUCAUUGUGUCGUUGUGUCGUUGUGUCGCUGUGUCGUUGUGUCGUUGUGUCAUUGUGUUGUGGUGCGGCUGUGUCACGCAGGCUGCUGUUCUGGUCGGACUGCGGUUCGGUUCCGCUGCUGGGCCGCGUUGGGCUGAACGGCGCCGAGCCCAAAGUGCUGCUGGAGCGCGGGCUGGGCUGCCCCUGCGCCAUCGCUCUGGGUGCGGCUGGGCGGACCCCCCCCGACCCCCCCGGCCCCCCCGGCCCCCAGCCCCUCCUGACCCCCGUGACCCCUCCCUGUCACCCCUGA
rnacentral:lncRNA from 1 species